rnacentral:rRNA from 1 species
GGCAGUCAGAGGCGAUGAAGGACGUGCUAAUCUGCGAUAAGCGCCGGUAAGGUGAUAUGAACCGUUAUAACCGGCGAUUUCCGAAUGGGGAAACCCAGUGUGAUUCGUCACACUAUCAUUAACUGAAUCCAUAGGUUAAUGAGGCGAACCGGGGGAACUGAAACAUCUAAGUACCCCGAGGAAAAGAAAUCAACCGAGAUUCCCCCAGUAGCGGCGAGCGAACGGGGAGGAGCCCAGAGCCUGAAUCAGCAUGUGUGUUAGUGGAAGCGUCUGGAAAGGCGCGCGAUACAGGGUGACAGCCCCGUACACAAAAGCGCAUGUGCUGUGAGCUCGAUGAGUAGGGCGGGACACGUGGUAUCCUGUCUGAAUAUGGGGGGACCAUCCUCCAAGGCUAAAUACUCCUGACUGACCGAUAGUGAACCAGUACCGUGAGGGAAAGGCGAAAAGAACCCCGGCGAGGGGAGUGAAAAAGAACCUGAAACCGUGUACGUACAAGCAGUGGGAGCACAGGUUUACCUGUGUGACUGCGUACCUUUUGUAUAAUGGGUCAGCGACUUAUAUUCUGUAGCAAGGUUAACCGAAUAGGGGAGCCGGAGGGAAACCGAGUCUUAAU